ACGAACGCUGGCGGCGUGCUUAACACAUGCAAGUCGAACGGUGAAGCGCCUUCCUUUUUGGUGGGUGUGGAUGAGUGGCGAACGGGUGAGUAACACGUGAGUAACCUGCCCCCUUCUUCUGGAUAACCGCAUGAAAGUGUGGCUAAUACGGGAUAUUCUGGGUCUGUCGCAUGAUGGGUCUGGGAAAGAUAUUGUUUCGGUGGGGGAUGGGCUCGCGGCCUAUCAGCUUGUUGGUGGGGUGAUGGCCUACCAAGGCGGUGACGGGUAGCCGGCCUGAGAGGGUGGACGGUCACACUGGGACUGAGACACGGCCCAGACUCCUACGGGAGGCAGCAGUGGGGAAUAUUGCACAAUGGGCGCAAGCCUGAUGCAGCGACGCCGCGUGAGGGAUGGAGGCCUUCGGGUUGUGAACCUCUUUCGCCAGUGAAGCAGGCCUGCCUCGUUUGUGGGUGGGUGGACGGUAGCUGGAUAAGAAGCGCCGGCUAACUACGU
rnacentral:rRNA from 1 species